rnacentral:rRNA from 1 species
GAUGAACGCUGGCGGCGUGCCUAAUACAUGCAAGUCGAGCGAAGCGGGGACGGGUGAGUAACACGUGGAUAACCUCCUAUAAGACUGGGAUAACUUCGGGAAACCGGAGCUAAACCGGAUAAUUAUAGAUGGAUCCGCGCUGCAUUAGCUAGUUGGUAAGGUAACGGCUUACCAAGGCAACGAUGCAUAGCCGACCUCAGAGGGUGAUCGGCCACACUUGAACUGGGACACGGUCCUGACUCUCACGGGAGGCAGCAGGGGGGAAUCUUCCGCCACGGGCGAAACCCUGACGGAGCAACGCCGCGUGACUGAUGAAGGUCGUCGGAUCGUAAACCUCGGUUAUUAGGGAAGCGGUACCUAAUCACAAAGCCACGGCUAACUCCGUGCCAGCAGCCGCGGUAAUAC